GGAUUAGAUACCCUGGUAGUCCACGCCGUAAACGAUGGGUACUAGGUGCUGCGGGAUUUAACCCCUGCAGUGCCGUAAGUUAACGCGUUAAGUACCCCGCCUGGGGAGUACGGCCGCAAGGUUAAAACUCAAAGGAAUUGACGGGGACCCGCACAAGCGGUGGAGCAUGUGGUUUAAUUCGAGGCUACACGAGGAACCUUACCUGGGCUUGACAUGCUAGAAGUAGCCACUCAGAGAUGAGAGGUGACCGUAUCCAAUCGGAGUCUAGCACAGGUGCUGCAUGGCUGUCGUCAGCUCGUGUUG
rnacentral:rRNA from 1 species